UUGGAGUUUUCUAAUGCCACCCGCAAAUCUC
rnacentral:piRNA from 1 species